GGGGAUUUAGCUCAGUGGGAGAGUGCUUGCCUAGCAUGCAAGAGGCCCUGAGUCCCAUCAAUCUCCA
rnacentral:tRNA from 1 species